rnacentral:rRNA from 1 species
GACGAACGCUGGCGGCGUGCUUAACACAUGCAAGUCGAACGGAAAGACCCUGCUUUUGUGGGGUGCUCGAGUGGCGAACGGGUGAGUAACACGUGAGUAACCUGCCCUUGACUUUGGGAUAACUUCAGGAAACUGGGGCUAAUACCGGAUAGGAGCUCCUGCUGCAUGGUGGGGGUUGGAAAGUUUCGGCGGUUGGGGAUGGACUCGCGGCUUAUCAGCUUGUUGGUGGGGUAGUGGCUUACCAAGGCUUUGACGGGUAGCCGGCCUGAGAGGGUGACCGGCCACAUUGGGACUGAGAUACGGCCCAGACUCCUACGGGAGGCAGCAGUGGGGAAUAUUGCACAAUUGGCGGAAGCCUGAUGCAGCAACGCCGCGUGCGGGAUGACGGCCUUCGGGUUGUAAACCGCUUUCGCCUGUGACGAAGCGUGAGUGACGGUAAUGGGUAAAGAAGCACCGGCUAACUACGUG